CAUAUUUUUCAAAUUGCCAUUUUCCCUCCAAAAUUCAAAUGGAAAGUCCAAAAUUUUUGUGAUCAAAAUGCAUGGCUUAUGAUGUAUGAUUUGGAUAGUACAUGUCAAAACAAGAAUGUUGCAAAAAGAACCACUUCAUUUGGCCUUUUGGUUCAAAAGUUAUGCACUUGUGAAGUUCAAAUUAUCUUGACCAAGAUUGAUCCAUAUCUUCUCAACC
rnacentral:lncRNA from 1 species